rnacentral:rRNA from 1 species
UACGGAGGGUGCAAACGUUGCUCGGAAUCAUUGGGCGUAAAGCGCACGUAGGCGGUCCAGCAUGUCGGGUGUGAAAGCCCUCGGCUCAACCGAGGAAGUGCAUUCGAAACUACGGGACUUGAAUACUGGAGAGGGUCGCGGAAUUCCCGGUGUAGAGGUGAAAUUCGUAGAUAUCGGGAGGAACACCAGUGGCGAAGGCGGCGACCUGGACAGAUAUUGACGCUGAGGUGCGAAAGCGUGGGGAGCAAACAGG